ACAAUAAGCACUUGCAACUAAUUACGGUAAUUAAUAUUUUCCAGUCGCGCAAAGUGAACCCGAUUUGCUGUGGCAGUCGAUGGAGAGUUAAAAAUUAAUUCUAGGAUCUGUUCCAAACAUUUUGACAAGAAGUACAUUUUGAAGACAAAUCUGAGAGUUCUGCUGCAGAAAAAUGCGAUCCGAACAAUCGUAGAAAGCAAAAGAAGUGCCGCAUAGCCUGAAGAAGGAUCUCCAAGAGAAUGGGCCGACUCCGAGAACAGAUAUAAGGCGAAAAAGGUAUAUGGUAUCCUAAUAUUGGUACUUCAUUAACACCUUGUUUUUACUGUAAAAAUGCCCAAGUGUCCCAAGUGUUCAAAAGAUGGAAGUUAUCCCGAAAUCCAAAGAAGGUCCUUGUCAAGAAGAGGUGAAACGAGCUUCUAGAGGUAUGACGAGACAGUGGGUCCCGGAGAGUACCAUAUAAGAUACGGCAGAGGCGAAGCAGGUCGGAAUUUACGAAGCCCAAGACUGGAAAAGUGAUAUCCACCGUAAAAAAAUGACCGAUUGAAGUUAAUUAGAAAUGUCUAAAUGGAGAUUUGUAAUUUUGAGAAAUUG